rnacentral:rRNA from 1 species
GUGGGGAAUCUUGCGCAAUGGGCGAAAGCCUGACGCAGCCAUGCCGCGUGAAUGAUGAAGGUCUUAGGAUUGUAAAAUUCUUUCACCGGGGACGAUAAUGACGGUACCCGGAGAAGAAGCUCCGGCUAACUUCGUGCCAGCAGCCGCGGUAAUACGAAGGGGGCUAGCGUUGCUCGGAAUUACUGGGCGUAAAGGGCGCGUAGGCGGACAGCUUAGUCAGAGGUGGAAGCCCAGGGCUCAACCUUGGAAUUGCCUUUGAUACUGGCUGUCUUGAGUUUGGGAGAGGUGAGUGGAACUCCGAGUGUAGAGGUGAAAUUCGUAGAUAUUCGGAAGAACACCAGUGGCGAAGGCGACUCACUGGCCCAAUACUGACGCUGAGGCGCGAAAGCGUGGGGAGCAAACAGGAUUAGAUACCCGUGUAGUCC